rnacentral:rRNA from 1 species
AGAGUUUGAUCCUGGCUCAGAAUCAACGCUGGCGGCGCGCUUAACACAUGCAAGUCGCACGAGAAAGUCCGCAAGGAUGAGUACAGUGGCGCACGGGUGAGUAACACGUGGGUAAUCUGCCUCUUAGUGGGGAAUAACCCUGGGAAACCGAGGUUAAUACCGCAUAAGCCCGAGAGGGGAAAGCAGCAAUGCGCUGAGAGAGGAGCCCGCGGCCGAUUAGCUAGUUGGUGAGGUAAAAGCUCACCAAGGCAAAGAUCGGUAGCCGGCCUGAGAGGGCACACGGCCACACUGGCACUGAAACACGGGCCAGACUCCUACGGGAGGCAGCAGUGGGGAAUCUUGCACAAUGGGGGAAACCCUGAUGCAGCGACGCCGCGUGAGCGAUGAAGCCCUUCGGGGUGUAAAGCUCUUUCGGCAGGGAAGAUCAUGACGGUACCUGCAGAAGCAGCUGCGGCUAACUACGUGCCAGCAGCCGCGGUAAUACGUAGGCAGCGAGCGUUGUUCGGAGUUACUGGGCGUAAAGGGUGUGUAGGCGGUUGUCUAAGUUUGGUGUGAAAUCUCCCGGCUCAACUGGGAGGGUGCGCCGAAUACUGAAUGACUAGAGUGCGGGAGAGGAGAGUGGAAUUCCUGGUGUAGCGGUGAAAUGCGUAGAUAUCAGGAGGAACACCGGCGGUGUAGGCGGCUCUCUGGACCGUAACUGACGCUGAGACACGAAAGCGUGGGGAGCAAACAGGAUUAGAUACCCCGGUAGUCC